rnacentral:rRNA from 1 species
UCAUCCAGGGGGGAGAAGAUACCCCACUAUCAUUAGUCCUAUCAUUCAAUGUAACCCAAUUAAAUCAUCCGCAGGGGUAUUCCGACAUUAGCUUAAAACCCAAAGGACUUGGCGGUGUCUCAGACCCACCUAGAGAGCCUGUUCUAGAACCGAUUAAUCCCCGUUAACCUCAUCACUUCUUAGUCUUUCCACCUAUAAUCCCCCGUUGUCAACUUUCCCUGGGGAGGGUCAAUAGUGAAAAAAAAGGGGCCGCCCAAAAACGCCUCGGGUCGGGGUAUAGUGCGUAGAGUAAAAAAAAGGGGUCCAUUUUUUCACCCAAAUUUUUCGAACCGCGCCCCGAAACAUGGUGCCUUGAAGGAGGAUUUAGCUAC